rnacentral:RNase_P_RNA from 1 species
UGUGGUCGCAUGAGGGUAACCUUAUGAGGAAAGUCCGAGCACCACAGAGCAAGGGUACCAGAUAACGUCUGGCUAGGGUGACCUAAGGUAAAGUGCAACAGAAAUAAACCGCUUUAAGUUUUUAAAGUAAGGGUGAAAGGGCGAGGUAAGAGCUCACCAACUUGUUAGGUAACUAACAUUUGCUGUAAACACUACUCGGUGCAAGAUAAGAAAAACAUUUAAAAGUUGCUCGCUUGGUUUUUCGAUACAUCGCUUGAACACGCUAGCAAUACCGUGUCUAGAUAGAUGACCACUUAAUACAGAACUCGGCUUAUUUAAU